rnacentral:rRNA from 1 species
UCGAAGGUGGGACCAGCGAUUGGGACGAAGUCGUAACAAGGUAGCCGUACCGGAAGGUGCGGCUGGAUCACCUCCUUUCUAAGGAG